CAUGAAGUUUUACUUAUAAAGCGAUCAAGAAUACUUUUACAAUACAACCAAAAGAGAUAAAAUAUGGCUCAAAUUCUCAUGUUUUUUAGUUCAUUGAUCAUCUUUCUUACGCUCUUUUUGGUGGAAACCAGAAAAACUGGAAUUCGUUGUGAGUCUAAACAAGAUUGUCCAACAAUGGCUUUACCUGAUUAUGUAACGUGCGUUGAAGGUUUAUGUCGGAUUUAUUUAAAUACCUUUGCUUAAUUCUUAUAAUAAUAUUAGUACCUUUAUAUUGUACCUUUAUAUAAUAAUGUUUGCACUAUAUUUCUAUGGAAUUUGAAUUUUAUGAAAAGUUAAAAAGUAUAUGAUCUUGUUGGAUCUAAUAUGGUUGACUUGUUGGAGAAGAUCCGAUGUACAUAGGAAUAUAAUGGUUGUCGUCCACCGUGGUCCUUCGUGAGUUCGUCUCCAUUGGAGGGGGGUGGUGUACCUGCACUUGCUCCGACACUUAAUGACUUAAGGGACUUAGAGAAUGCGGCUAAAAAUAUGUUAAAAAGUAAGAUACAAGACCUGAUGUUGCACAUGGUAUUUAUAGUGAAUAAGUAGGGUUUUUGGCUAUCAAAACUUCACCUGGACAUGUGUUACCAUUUUAAGUGAACCACAACAUCAAAUCUGAAUUGGAUGGUCAAGAUAUGUUGGUUAGGACCGUUAUCCAAGGGUGUAUCCAUAGUAUCGACUUGCUUGACUUCGAUCCCUAAAUCGGGAUCAUGUCUAUCCCUAGUUGGUCAUUGGCUCAGUUCAGAACAGUCUCCCACUAAGAUAUAGAUUAAGGUAAUAACACUUUUGAUGGUUUUUCUAGUCGCACUUCGUACGAACUUCCUUGGGUUUCUCGGCUAUCUCGUUACACGGGCAUUAUGGUUUGUUGUGGUUGAUAUCGUUCCCCCCUGGGUGAAUAACCCUCGGUGGAGGGGUUCGUUGAUUCUCCCUCUAGUUCUGAUCGAUCCUUGUGCUUCUUAAGGUUCCUGCGUAAUCUUGCCCCCAUAUGAUGUCCUUUUAAAUGUUUGGCUCUCGAAGGGGGGAGAUAGCGCUUUGAUGGUCUGAGACCAGAGGUCUAGCACUGGUAGCUUUUGAAACGCAAGUUGUGGUUUUUGUAUAGUUAUUUUCUGUGUGUUGCAUAUGGACAUAUGCCAAGACAAGUCAAAAGAUGAGACACAUCUUUUUAAGGCGUCGUUUUUGGAACAUUGUAACCUUUGGAUGGUUUGUCUUCAGCUUCCUUGUGUUAUUACUUAUUAACCAAUGGAUCCCCUUGGACACCAACCAGUUUCAUAACCUAUUUAAGGGAUGAUUGACAUUUCUUUUUCAUUUUUAA